rnacentral:rRNA from 1 species
UACAGAGGUCUCAAGCGUUGUUCGGAUUCAUUGGGCGUAAAGGGUGCGUAGGUGGCGCGGUAAGUCGGGUGUGAAAUCGCCCGGCUCAACUGGGCGGGGUCGGCGGAUACGGCCGAGCUGGAGCAAGCUAGGGGGUAAUGGAAUUCCCGGUGUAGUGGUGGAAUGCGUAGAUAUCGGGAGGAACACCAGUGGCGAAGGCGACUUCCUGGCCUGUUCUUGACGCUGAGGCGCGAAAGCUAGGGGAGCAAACGGG